GUUCGUGCUGAAGGCCUGUUUCCUAGGCUACAAACGGAGGACUGGUUCCUCGUUCCUUUGCCUAGGGGAAAGUCCCCGGACCUUGGGCAGAGAGUGCCACGUGCAUAAGCACGUAGACUUUACCCGCGUUUCACGCUUAGUCCGCCAAGAAGCUCCACCUGGCAGGUGGAGAGCUGAGCGGCGUGUGAGCGGGACGUCAUCCGUCAGCUUAUCUAGUAACGCAGGCAGUGCGUCCGUACGCACCAACCUCACGGGGCUCAUUCUCAGCGCAGC
ensembl:ribozyme RNase_MRP RNase MRP